AGCGAACGUUUGCGGCGGGCUUAACACAUGCAAGUCGAACGAGAAUCCCUUCGGGGAGGAAAGUGGGCGCACGGGUGCGUAACACGUGGAUAACCAACCCAUUGGUUUGGGACAACACCGGGAAACUGGUGCUAAUACCAGAUGUGUCGCAGCUGUCUUCAGGCGGUUGCGAGAAAGGCCCGCAAAGGGUCGCCAACGGACGGGUCCGCGUCCCAUCAGCUAGUUGGUGAGGUAAUGGCUCACCAAGGCAAAGACGGGUAGCUGGUCUGAGAGGAUGAUCAGCCACACUGGAACUGAGACACGGUCCAGACUCCUACGGGAGGCAGCAGUGGGGAAUAUUGCGCAAUGGGCGAAGGCCUGAUCCAGCCAUCCCGCGUGUAGGAUAAGGCCCUAUGGGUUGUAAACUACUUUUA
rnacentral:rRNA from 1 species